AGGUGUGAUCAUACCAGCACUAAUGCACCGGAUCCCAUCAGAACUCCGCAGUGAAGCGUGCUUGGGCGAUAGUAGUACUAGGAUGGGUGACCUCCUGGGAAGUCCUCGUGUUGCACUUC
rnacentral:rRNA from 1 species